GAUGAAGAACGCAGUGAAAUGCGAUAUGUAAUGUGAAUUGCAGAAUUCAGUGAAUCAUCGAAUCUUUGAACGCACAUUGCGCCCCUUGGUAUUCCGAGGGGCAUGCCUGUUCGAGCGUCAUUAUAACCCCUCAAGCUCAGCUUGGUGUUGGGGCCUGCUGCACUGGCAGCCCUUAAAAUCAGUGGCGGCGCCAUCUGGCUCUAAGCGUAGUAAUUCUUCUCGCUAUGGAGUCCUGGUGGAUGCUUGCCAUCAACCCCCAAUUUUUCUAUGGUUGACCUCGGAUCAGGUAGGGAUACCCGCUGAACUUAAGCAUAUCAAUAAGCGGAGGA
rnacentral:misc_RNA from 1 species